UACGUAGGGUGCAAGCGUUGUCCGGAAUUAUUGGGCGUAAAGAGCUCGUAGGCGGUUCGUCGCGUCGGCUGUGAAAAACCUGAGGCUCAACCUCAGGCCUGCAGUCGAUACGGGCGGACUUGAGUACUGCAGGGGAGACUGGAAUUCCUGGUGUAGCGGUGAAAUGCGCAGAUAUCAGGAGGAACACCGGUGGCGAAGGCGGGUCUCUGGGCCUGUACUGACGCUGAGGAGCGAAAGCGUGGGGAGCAAACAGG
rnacentral:rRNA from 1 species